GUGUCAGCAGCCGCGGUAAUACCUGCAGCUCAAGUGGUGGCCGCUAUUAUUGGGCCUAAAACGUCCGUAGCCGGUCUAGUAAAUGCCUGGGUAAAUCUUACGGCUUAACCGUAAGAAUUCCGGGUAGACUGCUGGACUUGGGACUGGGAGAGGCUAGAGGUACUCCUAGGGUAGAGGUGAAAUUCUGUAAUCCUAGGGGGACGACCAGUGGCGAAGGCGUCUAGCUAGAACAGGUCUGACGGUGAGGGACGAAGCCCUGGGGCGCAAACGGGAUUAGAUACCCCGGUAGUCCAGGGUGUAAACGCUGCUUGCUUGAUGUUAGUCGGGCUCCGAGCCCGAUUAGUGUCGGAGAGAAGUUGUUAAGCAAGCUGCCUGGGGAGUACGGCCGCAAGACUGAA
rnacentral:rRNA from 1 species